UCUUUAUUUUUAUUAUUUGCCUUAUUUUUAUUGCUUUCAGUUUUAGAUUAAUUAAAUCAAUCUCAAAACCCCCCAUUUUACUUACAGUUUAGUUGGUUUCAGUUUUAUCUCAUUUUAGUUUAUUUUGCUUUCCGUUUAUUUCUCUUUCAGUUUUAUCUCAUUUCAGUUUUAUCUCAUUUCAGUUUAUCUCGUUUUCAGUUUUAUCUCGUUUCAGUUUUAUCUCGUUUCAGUUUAUCUCGUUUUCAGUUUUCUUCUUUUGCAGUUUAUUUUUAUUUCAGUUUAUUU
rnacentral:lncRNA from 1 species